AACCUGGUUGAUCCUGCCAGUAGUCAUAUGCUUCGUUCAAGGAUUAAGCCAUGCAUGUCUCAGCGCAAACGGUUCAACAGUGGGUCUGUGAAUGGCUCCUUACAUCAGCAGUCAUCUGUGCGAUACAGCGUGCUUGGCCAAGGUGCAUGGCCCUUCUGGACAUCCUCCAAAACUUGGUGGCUAAUACACGAACGCAAAUGUCCGCCACGCAGUGUGGGGGCCGGGCCUCGGCCCGGUGUUCCACGGUGGUGGACUGCAACCAGCUCUGAAUAAGACCAGCCCCAGCAAUGGGAGCGUUGAUUGGCUGAAUCCUGCUGGUCCAACCGGACACUGCCCUGGCAGAUCGAUGUGGCUCGACCACACUUGCUUGAUCGCGUGAACUUCUGACCUAUCAGCUUUGACUGUGGUGCAGUGGACCACAGUGGCCUUGACGGGUGACGGAGAAUUUGGGUUCGAUUCCGGAGAGGGAGCCUGAGAGACGGCUACCACUACCAAGGUGGGCAGCAGGCGCGCAAAUUGCCCAAUACAGAUUCAGUCUGUGAGGCAGCAACGAACUGCAGCAAUCUUGCCCACUCUCUGUGGGCAGGAAUUGGAAUGGAUGCUAUCCAAACACAGCCAUGAGCAACGACUGGAGGGCAAGUCUGGUGCCAGCAGCUGCGGUAAUUCCAGCUCCAAGGGCGUAUACUAACAUUGCUGCUGUUAAAACGCUUGUAGUCUGCCUCCGGGAUGCAGGUCUGCUGGGUGGCCGGGGGGGCGGCGCGUGUGGGGCGGGUCGGGGCCUCGGUCCCUUCCCGUUUCGGGCGUGUCCGUUCUCCUGGAACUCAACCCCCCGGCAGUAUGUCCCUGCUCCCAACCAAAGCGAUGGUGAAGUGCUCCCGCAAUGAAGCCCCCUUCAGUGGGGGCCAAGGCCACAUURCAGUGAACGCAUGCUUGGGCGAGAACGGGUGGCACGGCCUCGUGCCGUGCAGAUAACAACCCGGGCCCGUGACCGGAGUGCACCAUCCGCGCAACCCUGAAAAACUCAGUGUGCUCAAAGCAUCCAUAUUGGCUGAAUGUCCGUUCAGGGAAUUGCAAAGCAUCGACCGAUUGUGGCCCUGAAGUUGUGCUGGGUCUUGGUACCCAAUCUGGGGAAUGCGGGGCUGGCCUCCGGGUCUCGUCCGGGGAGUUCCUGUUUUGGCUCUGGUCCUCGCCCCUCCUCGUGGGGGGUUAGCCAUCCAUUUCGGGCUCUUUCUCCGGUGCGGGGCACGGAUGGCCUGCUUCCAACCGGACAUGAUGGGAAUGCUCAGAGUGGAAGAGACUGCAACGCCAGAGGUGAAAUUCUUAGACCGCUGCAUGAUCAACCGCAGCGAAGGCGUUCUGCAAGGGCUUGUUCUGUCGAUCAAGAACGAGAGUGUGGGGAGCAAAGAUGAUCAGACACCGUCGUAGUCCACGACAGUAAACCAUGCCAGCCAGGCUUCGGUGAAGCAAGUUAUCCUGACUUCAUCGGGGCCAGCCCUUACAACGAGAAAUCCACACCCUGUGGGUUCAGGGGGGAGUACUGUCGCAAGGCUGAAACUUAAAGGAAUUGACGGAAUGGCACCCCAAGGCGUGGAGUAUGCGGCUUAAUUUGACUCAACACGGGGAAUGUUACCAGGUCAGGACAUUGCCAGGAUGGACAGAUUGAGAGCUCUUUCUUGAUCCAAUGGAUGGUGGUGCAUGGCCGCUUCUGAUGCGUGAUGAGAAUUGUCUGGUUGAUUCCGAUAACGAGUGAGACAUCCGCCUUCCAAUAGCCGCGGCCACGCAUUUGUAGGGCUGUCCCGCAGUGGGUCCGCCGGGAAGGGGGUGGGUUUUCGGGCUAGGUCAGCGUUCGCGCUGGCUGACCCCCGGGGCCCUUUCCCGACCCGGGUCUAGGUCCCUGCACCCGGUGCCCGAGUGGCCGUGAAUCCAAUGCUUCUCUGAGGUGCUGCUGCCCUCCAAGGGCGAGUAAGCUUGAGCCAACAGCAGGUCUGUGAUGCUCCCAGAUGUCCUGGGCCGCACGCGCACUACAUUGACACAGUGAAGGUGUUACGCUUCCCUCGUGGAGCCCCGCUCCGAAAGGAGCGGGAAAUCAUGCGAAUCUGUGCUGUACUGGGGAUAGAUGAUUGCAACUGUCUGCCUUGAACGAGGAAUGCCUAGUAUGCUUGUGUCAUCAGCGCAAACCGAUUGUGUCCCUGCCAUUUGUACACACCGCCCGUCGUUGCUACCGAUGAGAGUGUGAUAGAGCCAUCAGGAGACCGCGGUGUCCCCCUCGCUGGGCCCCAGUCAAAAUUGGGCAAUGUCACUCUCUAGAGGAAGCAAAAGUCGUAACAAGGCUGCUGUAGGUGAACCUGCAAAAAGAUCAAA
rnacentral:rRNA from 1 species